CCUACGGGGGGCAGCAGUGGGGAAUAUUGGACAAUGGGCGCAAGCCUGAUCCAGCCAUGCCGCGUGUGUGAAGAAGGUCUUCGGAUUGUAAAGCACUUUAAGUUGGGAGGAAGGGUUGUGGAUUAAUACUCUGCACUUUUGACGUUACCGACAGAAUAAGCACCGGCUAACUCUGUGCCAGCAGCCGCGGUAAUACAGAGGGUGCAAGCGUUAAUCGGAAUUACUGGGCGUAAAGCGCGCGUAGGUGGUUUGUUAAGGUGGAUGUGAAAACGUAGUGCGUUAACUGGUAACGGCAUUGAAAACUGACUGACUAGAGUAUAGUAGAGGGUGGUGGAAUUUCAUGUGUAGCGGUAAAAUGCGUAGAUAUAGGAAGGAACACCAGUGGCGAAGGCGACCGCCUGGACUGAUACUGACGCUGAGGUGCGAAAGCGUGGGGAGCAAACAGGAUUAGAUACCCUAGUAGUC
rnacentral:rRNA from 1 species